rnacentral:rRNA from 1 species
UACGUAGGGUCCAAGCGUUGUCCGGAGUUACUGGGCGUAAAGAGCGCGCAGGCGGUCGAUCAAGUCGAGUGUGAAAGCCCCCGGCUCAACUGGGGAGGGUCAUUCGAUACUGAUCGACUCGAAGGCAGGAGAGGGUAGUGGAAUUCCCGGUGUAGUGGUGAAAUGCGUAGAUAUCGGGAGGAACACCAGUGGCGAAGGCGACUACCUGGCCUGUUCUUGACGCUGAGGCGCGAAAGCUAGGGGAGCAAACGGG